rnacentral:lncRNA from 1 species
CGGCGCUGCGCGGUCCCAACGGCCACAACGGCCCCGCCCCCAACGCGUCCCGCCUGGGCGGGGCGCAGAGCCACACCCCCUCCCCGCCCCCGGGUGGGAGGGGCAGACGGGGCGGGCUCGGCCCACGUGACCCCGCCCCCCCUCCCCCGCCCGCUCCGCCAUGUUGUUUCUUCCUUCCCCGGCGGCCGGCAGUGGUCGCGGCUUCGGGCAGCGGCGCAGCCCCGGCUCGGGACCGGCGGCAGUCUCCACCCCGCGGGCAGGUGAUGUAUAUACCAGUAACACUAAUCACAACUAGCAAGACCACAUUCCUUCCUUCAGAGAAGGAGAUGAACCARGCUACUUACAACCUGUUUCCAUUUUAAAUAGGUCUAGAAAACCAG